AUUAUCCUCAUAAGUUUGACAAUAAGAGGAACCACUUAUGUAAAAUAAAACAUAUGGUGGUGUCACAAAAUCGGAGGCCACGACUGUUUACUAAAAACACAAUUCAGAGCAAUGAUGAAAAUCAUAGUAUUCUGGAUGAAAUUUGCCCGAUGCCAUUAACAUAAAAGAGGUAAUGGGAAACUGUUACUAAUUGAAAGUCUGGUUAAUAGCGGUCUUAACUAUGAGGAUCCUAAGGUAGCAAAAUCAGUUGGCCAUUAAAUGUGGUCUGGUAUCAAUAGUGUAACGAUGGUCUCACUGUCUCUACAACUUGCUCAGUGAAAUUGAAUUAUCCGUGCAGAUGCGGAUUGCCUCCAGGUGGACGGGAAGACCCUAU
rnacentral:rRNA from 1 species